UGGGGAAUUUUGGACAAUGGGGGCAACCCUGAUCCAGCCAUCCCGCGUGUGCGAUGAAGGCCUUCGGGUUGUAAAGCACUUUUGGCAGGGAAGAAACGGCGCUGGUUAAUACCUGGCGCAACUGACGGUACCUGCAGAAUAAGCACCGGCUAACUACGUGCCAGCAGCCGCGGUAAUACGUAGGGGGCAAGCGUUGUCCGGAUUUAUUGGGCGUAAAGAGCGUGUAGGCGGUUUGGUAGGUCCGUUGUGAAAACUCGAGGCUCAACCUCGAGACGCCGAUGGAAACCAUCAGACUAGAGUCCGGAAGAGGAGAGUGGAAUUCCUGGUGUAGCGGUGAAAUGCGCAGAUAUCAGGAAGAACACCCGUGGCUAAGGCGGCUCUCUAGUACGGUACUGACGCUGAGACGCGAAAGCGUGGGGAGCGAAC
rnacentral:rRNA from 1 species